rnacentral:rRNA from 1 species
UACGUAGGGCGCGAGCGUUGUCCGGAUUUAUUGGGCGUAAAGAGCUCGUAGGCGGCUUGUCGCGUCGUCCGUGAAAACCUGGGGCUCAACCCCAGGCUUGCGGUCGAUACGGGCAGGCUAGAGUUCGGUAGGGGAGACUGGAAUUCCUGGUGUAGCGGUGAAAUGCGCAGAUAUCAGGAGGAACACCGGUGGCGAAGGCGGGUCUCUGGGCCGAUACUGACGCUGAGGAGCGAAAGCGUGGGGAGCAAACAGG